GUGGGGAAUAUUGGACAAUGGGGGAAACCCUGAUCCAGCCAUGCCGCGUGUGUGAAGAAGGCCUUUUGGUUGUAAAGCACUUUAAGCGAGGAGGAGGCUACCGAGAUUAAUACUCUUGGAUAGUGGACGUUACUCGCAGAAUAAGCACCGGCUAACUCUGUGCCAGCAGCCGCGGUAAUACAGAGGGUGCAAGCGUUAAUCGGAUUUACUGGGCGUAAAGCGCGCGUAGGUGGCCAAUUAAGUCAAAUGUGAAAUCCCCGAGCUUAACUUGGGAAUUGCAUUCGAUACUGGUUGGCUAGAGUAUGGGAGAGGAUGGUAGAAUUCCAGGUGUAGCGGUGAAAUGCGUAGAGAUCUGGAGGAAUACCGAUGGCGAAGGCAGCCAUCUGGCCUAAUACUGACACUGAGGUGCGAAAGCAUGGGGAGCAAACAGGAUUAGAUACCCUAGUAGUCC
rnacentral:rRNA from 1 species